ACAGGAGAUGUUGGAGAAACUCGGC
rnacentral:piRNA from 1 species